GGAUGAACGGACACUGUGGACACACGGAUGCCUAAGGACCCAGGACAGGGCAUCUGGAUAUGGAUCUCUGCAUGUUUGGCUUUCUCUGUCCCAGGGGCUAUCCCAGAAGUUGGGUGGGGCGAAGACCCCUCUGGGCUGUCCACUCCUGGGUCUGUGGCUGGAAGAGGAAUCCCUUCCUGCUCACUAUGGAUAUGCCUUAUGACCUCACAAACUGCAAAAAGAAGGAGACCCAGAGCCAAAACGGGCCAUGGAAGCCAGCAUCCUCUCCGCUUGCCCAUUUUCCCUCGGCUGAGCAUGGAGGCCUCGGAAGGAAAGUUCCAGGUCUGGACUGCAAGAUGCUGCAACUGCAGGUGAGAGACAAAGACAGUGACAUCUUUUGUCUUCUACCCUGUGUCCUCCUCUCACCAGACCAUCCGCAGGCCAGAGGAUUUCUCCCCAUCACUUCACCCCACUUCCCCUUCCCUCUGCCAAGACAGCAGCCUUAGUGAUAUCACAAAACCUUUAAUCUCAGAAAACUGAAAAAAAAAUCAAAAUCAAAACCAAUCAUUUUUAUUUGUCCCCUGCCCCAGCCCUCCCACCCACCCACAUAUCCUCCUUUUGGGGGGGGACCUGUGAUGCAUGCAGAGGGGUGGGAGCUGAAGGAACCUGUGUUCCUUAAGCAGAAAGAAGUCCUUUUGAGUCUAGGUAUCCUCGUCCAAGUCAACACUACUCCCAGCCUUGGCCUCCCCUCCAGACACAUCAAGAAGGAAUUCCGAAGUGGUGCCAGAAGGAUUGCCCUGAAGUUCCUUGGGAAAUAGGGUGGCUGGGUCAGCAGCACCCCGGGCCUUCACCACUUACAGCUCAUCUUCAUCCAGCUUGGCAAGUCUGGCUUGGCAGGGAGGGGUGUUUGGAAUUGGUGGAGCUGGAGGAGAGCCACGAGGAGCUUGGGGGAUGUCACUGAGGGCCUGAAGAAAGACUCAAGUCAGAGGAGAAAAAAAGUCCAGAAAUCCACCCUCACUUCUUUCUUUUCAGUGUAUGCCCCCAGCUAAGCCGCCUCCUCUUGCUAGACACCUUAGAUGAUCUAAGACCAGCAGCUUCUCCCAGGGUUAAACUGGAGGGGGGGAAGGUAAGAGUAGGGAAGUAGGAAGGGGCAGACAAAAGGCAGGCGGUAGAAGAAAGGAAUGAUAUGGGGGAGGGGGAUUUAGGGACCCCAGAAUAAGAGAGGCCCUCCCCAUUCUGCCCCUGCAACAGGGGAACUCCAUUCCUCAUACCUGUGCAUCCAGGGGCAGCGGGGCUCUGGCCACCUCCCCUUUAGGCAACAGCAGCAGGGAAGGGAGUGAGCCAUUGCUGGGUGCAUGUGAGCUGACCUGGGCCCGGUCUCCAGGCCGAAUUCUCCCAGGACUCCCCAUCCCAAGCCCUCCUGGCCGCCCCAGGCUGUUGGUCUGGCUCUCUCGUCUCUGAUACUCAAUGGGUGACUGCAAUGCUGGGGCAAAGAGAGGAACAGAAGGAAGGUUACAACAGGUUCUUUCCCUAAGGGUUCUGCCUAGAUCAUCCUCCCACUUUGCCCGUGAACUGCCAGCCAUUGUAAAUUGCUGGGGAGAAGGGGAGAGAAGCUGGGGUCAAGAGGGCAGGGAUUGGAGAUUGGGCAGUGAGGGAUUCGGGAGGUCAAAGGGCUGAAGGAGCAUGUCAGGGAGGGAGGGGGAGAGCUUCACCAUUGAGAAAGUCCCGCUGGCUUUCCAGGAUCUGAGCCACUUGCUUGAUCCAGGCCUGACUCACUGAGGGGUCUGCAGUCUGCAGGACAUAGCGCUGGAUCCCACCCUCCGGCCCUCUGGAGGUCAGUGCAAAGCGGCAAGGGUCACCUUGGAGGUUCCCCUCCAGUCCCAGGCAGCUCACCUGGAUUGGCAAGUAGGAGAGAGCCCCCAAAUUCUUCAGGCCCUCUCUGGUUCCUGCCCCCUCCAACAAAUCCAAGAGCCAGACAUUCUCUUAGAGGCCUCACCCCAUCCCAGUGACCCCUCCCUUGCGGCCUCCUCCCCACCUUGAUGCUGCUCUUGUACACAUAUCCGGCCUGCGAUCCUCCUCGGACUCCUCCUCCCAGGGCCUCACUGAAGAUGACAAUUUGCUCGAAGAGAAAGACACGUCUCUCUCGACCCCGGGAGGACAGCAGCCCCCCAGCCUCAGGCUCUGUGACCCAGAAUGUGUCCUGGCCCAAGAGCUUCCCCUGAGCAGUCAGUUUGCCCUAGAAGCAGAGGGUAGUGAUUUUGAGAAAAAAGCAAAGAGAGAAAAAGGACCUUCUCUGCUCCUCCCUCGUUCCCCUGACGCUCCCAGCCAACCAUGGGGUCAGUCCCAGGGGGCGGGGGGUACAGCUCCCUGUGAGGACCUCCUGAGUGCUCAGACUGGGGCCUCCAGUUUCCUGUUCUAUCCCCAUACCUCAAACCCCCGGAGUCUCCCCAGGGUCAUCAUGUCAUUGCAGCGCUUGGGUACAAAGCACAUGACCUCCACAGCUUGCUGGGUCGCAGGUGAAGAGAGGGGCAUUGUCAUUGUCGAGAAAGAGGCCUCUUCAGACCAUGUUUCAACUCUCAACCAGCCUCCCCCUAAAAACCAGACAGCUCAAAACCACCCAAGGAGCUGGGGGAAACCAGAAGACCAAAAAAAUAAGAGGUACCUCAGCCACUGACCUCAAAGUAGCUGUCCCCGAAUUCUGACACCACGUGCUCUGACUUGGGCUUAUUCUGACAAUACACCACGUACAUAUGCAGCCGGCGCUCCUAACAGGGUUCACUCAAGACAUACCUGGGAAGAGAGCAGGAGUGCACAUCCUUGGUUUAGCCACUUCCUCCCUCCUGGACUAGAAGCCCCUUCAUUACCACAGCCAACCUCAGAGGAAAUUCCAAGUAUCAAAUCUGAAAUGUGACGGGCAGUUCUCUGGAAGUUGCAAAAUGGGUGGUGGGCAGAGGGGAGGGAGUGUGUGGGACACUUACAUACUCCUUUCCAGAGCCGCCUUCUUCUGUUCCUCCUCACUCUCAGGGGCUUGGGACAGAGUCUCCUCCUCAGGUGGCUGGAAGGAAAGAACAUCCUAGAGUAAGCAAACGGAUGCUUUUUGGGAAGCCCUACAGACCCAUUUCUUCAUACCUGUGUCUUCUCUCCAGGGCCCUCCAACAAUGUGGUCAGCAGGGUGAGUUCUGGCAGCUCCUCUCCUGUGGCUAGAGCUGGUUCCAGCAUCCAGUUCUGGGAGCCAGAGGUCAAGU